rnacentral:rRNA from 1 species
UACAGAGGUCUCAAGCGUUGUUCGGAUUCAUUGGGCGUAAAGGGUGCGUAGGGUGGCGGGGUAAGUCAGGUGUGAAAUCUCGAGGCUCAACCUCGAAACUGCACUUGAUACUGCCUUGCUGGAGUACUGGAGAGGAGAUUGGAAUUUACGGUGUAGCAGUGAAAUGCGUAGAUAUCGUAAGGAAGACCAGUGGCGAAGGCGAAUCUCUGGACAGUUACUGACACUGAGGCACGAAGGCCAGGGGAGCAAACGGG